GAUAACUUAAGAAAAGAUUUAGGGUAUAGAAGAUUUAGAUUUAAAUAUUUAUAUAUUUUGGGAUGAGCUAAUAUUAAGAAUUUGAAUAAAUAAAAGAUUAUUUUCUAGAAUAAAUAAUAAUAAAAAUUGAGCCGGGUGUAUUUUUAGAUCAAAAGCUGAAAUGAGGGGCAUCUUUGAACUAAAAACAAAGAUGCUGAAUAUUUUUAGACCAAAAAAUGGAAGGAGAGUAAUUAUUUACUUGUGUCCAGGGGCGGAGCUAGCAUAUAGUUAGGAGGUUCAUCUGAACCCCAUUCGGCGGAAAAUAUUACUAUUUAUAUAUGGUUAACAUUAUUUUUUAUGUAUACAUAGUAGAUGUCGAACCCCCUUCGAUUAGUUUGUGGUUUACUUCUUCAGAUUUUGAACCCCUUAUUAAAAAUCCUAGCUCCAUCAUUGCUUGUGUCACGUUUAAAUAGUUGUGGCUUGAUAUUUGGUGACUGCAACAUGAACUUCUUCAUCGAACAAUGUUUGAUUAUAAAGAUUUAUAUGUUAAGCUAUACAUCAGAGCAACGAAAUCUUAGUAGGUAGAUUGUUGAAAGAAUUAGCUAUCACGGAGUACAUGCAGAAGCAAAAUAUUAGAACAAAAGUAUAUAAAGUUUUUGGAAGAGCUCGCAACUCAUUUGCUAUCCUUACCAUUUCAUCGCAACAAUAAAAGAGUUGCGAUGUUUAAUUACUCUCUUCAUCUCAAUUUAUGUGACAUCAUUUGACCGGAUACGAAGUUUAAAAAUAAGGGAAGACUUGGUUAUGCUACCCAAUUGUCCUUACUAAAGUUGCCUUAAUGCUUACUUUUAGUUGAGUUUUCUUCUCAAUAAAGUCUGAAUGACAGCAAAAUAGUAAUCAAAAGUGCAUACAUGUCUGUGAAUCCUACAAUAUAUAUUUCACCACACUUGAAAUCAAAAGUCAAUAAAAGCAUAAAGCUAUAAGAAAUUAAUGUUAGACACAUUUUAUACUAAUUUCUAUCCAUAGCCUUCUUUGUCUAUUUGAAACUGUAUGUAAUUUUGCAAUUAACCAUAUGAGAAUUUAUAUGUUGCAAUAAACUAGUAGAUAAUAGAGGAUUCAUAUUACCCAAGUAACAAUACAAUACAUUACGAAAGAAUAUGUUGCUAGUUCAUUCUUAGACCAUAUCUUUGACGUCUCUUCUUUUGCCUUGUUCGCUUCUUAGCAGCAAUUUGCUGAGAAAUAUCUUCAGCAAAGUUCACAUACCAUUUUGGUUUUUCCAGUAGGAACAUGAGGCCUCCCAUCAA